rnacentral:lncRNA from 1 species
GUGGUUAAGUGCCCCUGGAUUCAAUCCUCAGUACCAAAAAAAAAAGUGACCCUGAAUUCAGAUCAAUGAGAGGAGGAAAAGAAAAAUCAUUAAAAGGGUGCUGGCACAGUCAUAUGAAAAAUAAAAUUGGUUUGGACCCAAUACCAGAUAAAUUAAAUAUGAAUACUAACACUUUUUAAUAAAAGAUUUAAAAGAAAACACAGGAUAUUAAUACAACAUUGAAUAUGAAAGUAUUUCCCAACGAAACUAUAAAAGAUAAAUUUGACCUGACAGCAUUAAAAUGUAAAACUUUUGUUGUCAAACUCGCUCAAAAAGAAAGAACAUAGAGAAUAUAUUUUCAAAAGUGCCAAAAUUUAAUUAGUAUUCAGAAUGCAUUAAGAACAUCUGAAUCAAUAAGGAAAGACACGGAAAAACCAGCAAAAAGUAUGAACUGGCAAUUAGCAGAUGAAGAAACAUCAAUGGCCAAUGUUAAAAAUUUUACUUCCAGUAAUUGUGAAUUAGUUCAUUCUAAUGAAUAAUCUCAUGAUAAAUACUUUUAGAAGCUGAAAAAAUGCAAAAUGUACUCUCUUGAAGAUACUUGAGAGUAAACUAGAUAGUUAAGGGCUGCUAGACCAGCAUCAGGGAGAGAAUGAGAGCUUAUCCUGUACUGCCAGGAUCUACAGAUGCUUCAGCAAGUAUGAACUAUUACAGUAAUGUUUUGUUUUUGUACUACUAACCUCAUACAUGCCAGGGAAAAUGCUCUGGCCUAGAGAUACACCCCUAUAAAAAUUUCAUUUUUUAAAUUAUUUAUAUAUUGGCACCAGGGAUUGAACCCAGGGGCACUUAACCACUGAGCUACAUCCUCAGUCCUUUAAAAUUUUUUUUUAUUUUAUAUAGUUGUAGAUGGACACAAUACCUUUAUUUUUGUUUAUUUAUUUGUAUGUGGUGCUGAGGAUCAAACCCAGUGCCACAGUGUGCAAGCAAGGCAAGUGCUCUACUGCUGAGUCACAACUCCAGAAGGCCCCCCAGUCCUUUUUAUUUUUUAUUUUGAGAAAGGAUCUCACUAAGUUGCUUGAAGCCUUACUAAAUUACUGAAGCUGGCUUUGAACUCUCCUUGAAUGGUUGGGAUUGCAGGCCUGCACCACUGCAUAUGACUAAAAAUUAUGUUUUCAGACAGGCUCUUGCUUAGUUGCCGAGGCUAGCCUCAAACUUGCAAUUCUCCUGCCACCUGUCAUGAUUGUGUUUUAAGCCUGUGAUUUUUGACAUGCUUUGUUUUCUUCUCCCAUAUUUUUAUUUAUGCAUUAUAGUUGUAUAUAAUGGAUUUUUUGUUACAUUCACAAAUGCAUGCAAUAAACAAUAUAAUUUGGCAAUAUCA